rnacentral:tRNA from 1 species
GGAAGGGUACCGAAGCGGUCAUAACGGCGCCGACUCGAAAUCGGAUGGUUCGCGAAAGCGGGCACGUGGGUUCGAAUCCCACCCCUUCCGCCA